AUCAAACAAACAAAGUAAUAGAAAGUCAGAGAUUGAUGUUAAAUAU
rnacentral:guide_RNA from 1 species